rnacentral:rRNA from 1 species
UACCAGACUCCUACGGGAGGCAGCAGUGGGGAAUAUUGCACAAUGGGGGAAACCCUGAUGCAGCGACGCCGCGUGAGCGAUGAAGUAUUUCGGUAUGUAAAGCUCUAUCAGCAGGGAAGAAGAUGACGGUACCUGACUAAGAAGCCCCGGCUAACUACGUGCCAGCAGCCGCGGUAAUACGUAGGGGGCAAGCGUUAUCCGGAUUUACUGGGUGUAAAGGGAGCGUAGACGGCGGCGCAAGCCAGAUGUGAAAGCCCGGGGCUCAACUCCGGGACUGCAUUUGGAACUGUGUGGCUGGAGUGUCGGAGAGGCAGGCGGAAUUCCUAGUGUAGCGGUGAAAUGCGUAGAUAUUAGGAGGAACACCAGUGGCGAAGGCGGCCUGCUGGACGAUGACUGACGUUGAGGCUCGAAAGCGUGGGGAGCAAACAGGAUUAGAUCCCCCAGUA